AAAAUCAGUGCUCCGCGCUGUUGUUUCCACCUUGACUGUAGACGCCGACGCUGAAGGACUCAGCUGACUGACGAAAUGUUUGCCAACAGCAACCGUGAAAGGCAGAAGACGCGACGCUCAGUGAGACGGAGAUAAGCUCGUGUGUUGAGUGCUCACCAACCACAGUUUCUACUUAAUGAUGGACUUUACUUGAAAAGAGCUGAGAUGGAGAAGACUGUCUGUAGAAUUUGUUACUGGCAUCGAGAAAAGGGUCAGCUUUAAUUCAGCCCAACAUCUCAAAGAGCCUAGAGAGAUCCUGCUGAUGGUGAAGUUUGACACAAAACUGGCCCCCCUUUUACUGCUUGGACGUCCACUGUAGUCUUUACCCCUAUUUUUCACCACUGUGUCUUCGUUGUUCCUUAGAGUCUUCCUGAAUAUUAGGAAACUCAAUCAUACGGGACACAUCCUCACCGUCGCUCCUGUCUUCCCAAUUUUCAUCGAUGACAAAGUAGAAAGAUUUCACCUCACAGGUCUUAUCUUGUGUGUUAUAUGAGCCAAUAACAAGUUUUAUUUCAACUCUUUCAACAUCAUCGCUUUGAGGCAUGCAGAGGCCUUUCAGUGCUCUCAUUAUGGGCGAGCAGACUGGCUGGAAAACAGAGGAUGUAACAGGAAGCCCACUGCUUGACACCAAAAAGAGCAUCAAGAUGUAAGACAGUCAGUGCAGAUCUUCACAGCAUGGCAGACAAGCCAGGAGCAGACCUUACACUGAACGACAGCCCCGUCUCCAGAGCUCAAUGUUGGACUAUCAGCAGAUUGUGCUGAGAUUUGAAGAGGCCACCAUAAAAACUCCAGUCAUGGAGAAUAAAUCCACUAUCUGUACUUUAAAGAGGGAAGGCACCAAAAUGAGCUGAGCUCUCUGGGGCUUUGAUGAUCCUGGCCUCGUGAACCUCAGACAUGCAGCCCAUAAUAUGUCACACACUCCUACGUCUGCUCUGUGGCCUCUCCAAGCUCACCUCCUGCCUUACAUCUUAUGCUGCUGGUAUCGGCCUCAGCUCCCAAGACUUAUUACAGAGGCUGUGAAUGGCUGGUAAGGCACUAUAUGAGUUACCAGCGCACACACCAAAUACCAGCACUUUAAACAGAGACACUGGUCACUUUUGAACACCACAUACAAACGACACAUUUAGAGCAAUCACUCAACCUGACUACGUGUCUUGUUUUAUUUUGUUUGCUUCAAAAUAUUUUUUCAAGAUUCAUACUGCGCAAUGAGAAGGAAGCCUGAUGAUGGGGGAUCCAGCGCUGGAGGAGAUGCUGCUAAGAUGCUUAGAAAUAAAAAAUAAAAAUUAAAUACUCCAAUUUAAAUUAAAAAAAAAAGCUUACUCAAGUGAAAAAUGGGAAUAGAAAUGUUAUUUGAAACAAUUACAAUGGUGUGCUUUGUGUUCUUUCUGGACAUCCCUGCAGUUUUCUCCAAUCUCAUUAAAGAUGUCUGAAAUAAAGUUACAUAAACA